rnacentral:tRNA from 2 species
UCCCCGGUAGCUCAGCUGGUAGUAGCACGUGGCUGUUAACCACGGUGUCGCAGGUUCGAGUCCUGCCCGGGGAGCCA